rnacentral:rRNA from 1 species
GACGAACGCUGGCGGCGUGCUUAACACAUGCAAGUCGAACGGAAAGGCCCUGCUUUUGUGGGGUGCUCGAGUGGCGAACGGGUGAGUAACACGUGAGUAACCUGCCCUUGACUUUGGGAUAACUUCAGGAAACUGGGGCUAAUACCGGAUAGGAGCUCCUGCUGCAUGGUGGGGGUUGGAAAGUUUCGGCGGUUGGGGAUGGACUCGCGGCUUAUCAGCUUGUUGGUGGGGUAGUGGCUUACCAAGGCUUUGCCGGGUAGCCGGCCUGAGAGGGUGACCGGCCACAUUGGGACUGAGAUACGGCCCAGAAUCCUACGGGAGGCAGCAGUGGGGAAUAUUGCACAAUGGGCGGAAGCCUGAUGCAGCAACGCCGCGUGCGGGAUGACGGCCUUCGGGUUGUAAACCGCUUUCGCCUGUGACGAAGCGUGAGUGACGGUAAUGGGUAAAGAAGCACCGGCUAACUACGUG